UUAAGAACAACAAGUUUAACACAGUUUUCACAACUGAGAAUGAGUAACGUAUGUAACACAUCUCCUUGCCUAAAAUUCAUAGCCUUGAUAAAUUCGCGCUAUCCGUUGUUGAUCCUCCGAUAGUUGUUGAUGCUAGAAGCACCAACCUGAGCAAGAUACACCUCAGUUUCACAAUGAAAGAUCUUAACCGACGUCAGAUUUAGGGGGAAGUAGUCGUUGAUACAUAGUGGCAGCCACUACAAUCCAAGAAAAACAAAAGUGAUAAAUGCAAUAAACGAGGACAAAUAGAAAAGCUUUUCAAGAAAAUAUUAAAUAAAUCUACCAGUCUUGCUCAAAGUAGGAGCGGCACAGAUUAACUUGGAACUGAUGGACGGGUCUUGUCUACGUUUGAACGGGGAUGAACAGUGAUAUUUUUUCUAUUUCCUUUUUAGAUAUUUACGAAGGAAUACA
rnacentral:lncRNA from 1 species